AGGGAUAUAUCUUAGUGGAGCAGUGCCUGCCUGGCAAGCAUGAGGUCCUGAGUUUGAUUCCCAGUACCCCCG
rnacentral:tRNA from 1 species